AACUGGAAUAUUAGUUACAAGCCCGAUAUCUGGACUAGAUUUCUUGAGUUUGAAUGCUGGUUUCAUGACUUAUACAGCUGUGUGACCCUGCUCAUGUUUGGAAUCAUGCUUCUGCUAAGUAUUAACCUUUCAGCACAGAAGCUUUGAGAAUGGAUUACCUGGGAAACUGUUUUUCUAUUCCUAUGUGUGACAGCUGAGUUCAGCUGUUUUUCUAAGCAUCUCUGGAACAGCUGAGCACUUUCUCCUGGUCUCAGAUUUGAAUCUAAGGCAACUUGAAGCAACAAAGUAACAUUGGAAUGCAUCUGAUCAAGGAAUUCACCUCAUCUGCUACAGCUUGGAGUUUCGAUCUUUGUGGUAUAGUUGUCUGUGAAGUCAUCUUCUAUAACUUGUAUCCUUUCUACAUGUGUGCAUAUAUUAACACAACUACCUCCACAACACAUGGACUAUGAGAGGCUCAAUGUAAAACAAAAUACAAAACAGGCAAGCUCUAAGCUGAAGUUGCAGUCUGAGAAACUUAACUAACUGUAAAGCCUUAUUUAUCACCUGUUACCGGUACUCAUCCUCAGACAGCAGGUAUUAGCGAUCUGGAAAAAUGGAAUCAAACAAAAGUGCUUUUAUUCACUGGUAAAAAUAAAAUGACUCGUGUCAGCUACUGAAGGAGCUCAUCUUCUGCCAUCAGUUGAAAUCACUUCUAUGAAAGAAUCUAAUAUUGACCAAAUGAGGAAAACACGAGAAUAGUAUAACACUGUAUGUAAGACCAGGGUUGCUGAAAUGAUAAUGGCACCCUCUGUACAUCCUGUACUUAUGAAGGCCAUUUAAUAAAACUAGAGUAUCACUGAA